AAGAUGUUCCAUAUGCAAGAGGUUAUGAAUUUCAUCACUUUGUGAGGGUUGAAAUGUUCAAACCUUUUCCACAGGGAGGAUCUCUGAAUCACAUGUUAGGAGUCAAUCAUCCCCUUUCCUACCAGUAACAUGGCAACACUGACGAGUAUACAUUGCACAUCUCAGAGAUUUGGAGGAGGAGCAAGAGGGCAGAUGACAUAGACACCCUACUGAGAGCAAAGUAACAUACAUAACAAAGCUGGUUUCAUGUAUGUGAGGUCGGGGAGAAGAAAAAUACAUAUCCAUGCAAGGUAAAAUAGAAUUGGAGACAUAUCCAAGGAAGGCGAUGUGGCCCUAAAAGCCUUAGUAGAGGACCCAUUCUUUCCAUUUUGCACUUUAAUUUAUACCCACCUUUUUGGUAGCCCUUUUUGUCUUUUGCAUUGUACUUGCUACUCUCUGUGUCAAAAGUAUAUUAAAAAACCCAG